CGUGCACAGGCACACAUACACACACGCACACACACACACACACCUGUGCUCACGCACGGAUUUACACUAAUACAGACCUAUACACCUAAGCAUUUGGGCACGCAGAAUUGACAAAGAUGCACUCGCACACACAUUCAUCCCCAACGCGUAAUGUUUACGUUCUAGUGUUUUAAUUCCCUGAAUGUGCGUGGCGUGGACGCACCCGUAGCUGUAUGUACUAUAGAUGAGGUAGUCAUCGCUCAAACUAACAAUUUUAUCGCGACACGUAUUAGAGUAUUAGACCGCGAUCAGAAACCCUAAAUGUUCGCUAGAGUUUUGUUCGUCAUUCGCAUUGUGUUUAACGCGGAUAAGUAUGCGCGCACGAUGUUUUUAUGCUGGCGCUGUCCCAUGUGCUAGUCUUAUUAUUGGUCCACCUGCUACUGAUACGAGCGUUUUUUCGUUUCAACGAAUUCGUGUCUACUACUUGUGUCUCUGUGACCUUUGUUGCGCUAUGUGGCAUGUGCUUCCCUAAAUAUGUACAAUCUAUGUGGAAGAGAAGUUGGUCUUGUUUGAUUUUCGGCACGGAGUUUGGAUACAAUGGAGGGCAAACAACUUCAAAAUUUAUUACAAAGUUCGUUCUUAUUCGGUGACAAUCUUCUAGUUGCACGUAACAUAAGUGCUAAUCCAGUGGUAGGCGUGGUGCGUGUGACGUUUGUUACAUGACCAUGUUGCGUCUGUCCGCUUUGUAAUUCAAUGUCGAUUUCCAGCAUCCAUGUAUAUAAUACACGGGAUAUGAGAAACAGUGUGUUUGUGUGUAUACGUGUGUGCGUGCGUGCGUGUGUUCGUACCUGCGUGUUGUGAAUGGAUGUUAGUUAUUUGUGAACCUUGUCUGUAAUUAGUAUUCCUUUAAUCGUUACGUACCUUCCUCAUCUGAUUCCGAUUCGAUGCAAGUUUUCGGUUGCUGUUUCGUGGUAAACUCCAGUAAUCGCCCUAACUAUUAUGAAAAUUACCGCAGUGACUUUGCUGCCCUGCAUUCACUUUGGGUCAAAGUUUCCUAAUGUCGAAUUCCUAACAUAUUUUUUUGGUAUUAUCUUUGAGGCAUCUAUAAACUUUGCGUUUCUCAUUCGUACUUGUUUACGGGAUAGUAUGUUGUCAUAGUAGCGCAACGUGCGUUGUAGAAAUGUAUAGUUGGACUAAUACCCAGUGUAUUAUUGCAGCUUAAAAUCAGGACCAUUAGCUGCCACUAAAUACAGUAAGCCGGUGUGUCUAUAUAUAUACACACCAUUCAUUUACAUAUAUAUUAAGAGUACAUAAUAUAAAUCUCUAUUAUGUACUCUUGAUAUAUAUGGUAUUGCUUUUUAUGCAAUAAGCAUGUUCAACUAAGUAUAUUCAGUAGCAAAAAUUUAUUGGCCCUUUUUCCACUUCGAUAUUUCCGCCCAGUUCCAACUCUAAACUGUAUACGUAAGUGUAGCUUGGAGUUAUAUACACCAGGAUUUUAAUGUAGGUCAUGAUCAGUUCUCUAUAAAAAAAGAAAGAACUCAAAGUGAAUAGUGUUUGCAGAAACACACGUUCAUGUCGUAUUAACUGAUCACGUCGUCUGCUAUUUGCAGCUUUAAACUGAGAGUUCAUAUAUAUUAUUAACGUAUUGCUUUCGGAGCUAGCGUUCGUUUAGUAGAACGAUUCUUAAUCUGUCGUACGAAGUUUUAUGAGCAGUUUGUGUUACGGUGCCGAGAGAGCACGAAGAUGGUUUUGUUGCAGAAAUUAUUUUCGCAAAAUUGUAUGGCAUUGGCCAUUUUCCAGCACGGUAUUUAGCCUUGUGCUGGCUGGCAGCAUAUGAGAAGUGUAUGUACCACAAGCAAAGUCUUUGAUAACGACUUGGCUCAGCUCAUUAAGAGGUGUAGAGAGGGCGUGAUUAUUGCCAUUUUGCCGCUCGACUGUAUGUAAGAAGUCCGUAUAUGAUUUUGUGUAUUAUGUUUAGUUAGCCAGUCGUCUCUAUAUAUCUGUCAGCUCAGAGUAAUACUGUAUGAGUAUAUGAUACAAAGUACUAAUAAAGAUUUUACGUGUCGUAUCGGUUGCAUCGCAGUCUCUGCGUUCUGUUAACUUGUUCUCUUUGUUUUGAAAGGUUUUCGAAGACUGAAAACGUGACAGAAAUAGAGGGUUGAAGAGAGAAGGGAAGACUGAAAUCAGAGAUGCGAGAAAACCAGAAAAUAUAGCGGAAGGAAAGCGGGAAGAAAAAUGAGGCAAAGGAGAGGAGCAGAAAAUUGAAAUGAAGAUUUCACAGAAUCUCGGCCGAAGACCCUUCUAUUGGGGAGAAAGCGAGAGCGAGCGCGCGAGAGAGCGAGAGAGAGAGAGAGAAAAAACGAGGUGGUAGAUAUGCCAGAGGAAGGAAGAAAGAAGAGAAGGGGAGGAUAUGGAGAGAGAGCAAAGUUUAGAAAUCGAAGGUUUGGCCGUGAACUCCCAGCGUGCUGCUUCCAGUUUUGCGAUUCGCGUGGGUGGUUUUUUUCUCAGAGGUGAAUCUCCUAGGCAGGAGGAAACGCUGACGACGACAGCGACGAAUAAACUUCUAAUUUGCACGUUGUCGAUCCAACAGGCCAGCGUUUUUAACAACAACAAUUUUGCAAUUUUGCAAUUUUGCAAUUUUUUUACAGCAAUAACUUCAGUGAAAUGAAUAGCAAGGGAGGAGAUUUCAGGUGCGAAAAUUAUCAUCGAUGCGACGACGACGACGUAGAAAUGUUAAUUCCGGUCGUUGUGAGUGCAGGUGAGAGAAGUGUUGACGUCGGCUAUGAGCUAAUAAAAUAUAAGAGUAAUCGUGAAA